CCUACGGGGGGCUGCAGUCGAGAAUCUUCGGCAAUGGGCGAAAGCCUGACCGAGCGACGCCGCGUGCGGGAUGAAGGCCUUCGGGUUGUAAACCGCUGUCAGAGGGGAUGAAGUGCUGAUGGGUACUCCCGUCAGCUUGACUGAUCCUCAGAGGAAGGGUGGGCUAAGUUCGUGCCAGCAGCCGCGGUAAGACGUACCACCCAAACGUUAUUCGGAAUCACUGGGCUUAAAGAGUCCGUAGGCGGCUCGGAAAGUUGGAUGUGAAAUACCUCGGCUCAACCGAGGAACAGCAUUCAAAACUGCCGAGCUUGAGAGAGACAGAGGUAAGCGGAACUGAUGGUGGAGCGGUGAAAUGCGUUGAUAUCAUCAGGAACACCGGUGGCGAAAGCGGCUUACUGGGUCUUUUCUGACGCUGAGGGACGAAAGCUAGGGGAGCGAACGGGAUUAGAUACCCCAGUAGUC
rnacentral:rRNA from 1 species